ACUUUUCUUCCAUUCUAAUGAAACAGUAUCUGCUGCUAUUCUUUAAAAUCUAGGGUUCUUUCUCAUGUCUUCUGUCGGCCGGAGAGAAUUGAAGCCAACAUUCAGGUUAACUAUGGCUGGGGUAAUAACAGGGAGGUGACAGAAGAGAGUGAGCACACAUGGUCUUUUCUUGCAUUGAUAUAUAUUUAUAUGCUUGAAGCUAUGCGUGCUCACUCUCUAUCUGUCACCCCCACCAAUCUCUCUCUCUCUUCUUCUUUUCUCUCUCUAGAUUUCAUUCUGUUUUAUGUUGUGCGUUUCUGUGUUUUUUCAGCGUCUAAUAUUGUUGGAAUGGUACUCAGGGACGGAUCUAGGAGACGGAAGGGGUAACCUUUCAUCGAAAAAAUUAGACUGUAUAUUACAAGUCCAUAAUUACUUAUUAUGUAUAUAGUAGUUGUUGAAUCCCAUUCGCUUCAUGCAUUUGUCUAAUAAUACUCAUUCGCUUCAUGCAUUUGUCUAAUAAUACUCAUCAUAUAUAUAUCGGAUGAGUUUGAGUUAAUUGCUUGUUCAGGAUCAUUCAUUCAUGCUGAUUGGGUUUUACUGAUGGUGGAUCUGGUAAUUAAUAAACUUUUUCUUCAUUUAUUUGUAUAUUUGUGUACUAUAAUACUUUUCGUCUUCUCGACCGAUGGCCUUUCGGAAACAGUAUCUUUACUCUUCGGGUAAGUGUAAGGUUUGCUUAAACAGUACCCUCCCCAGAUCUUACUAGUGUGCAUAUUUUUCUGCAGAAAUGAUUCACCUCAUGUUUUAGUGGUUUCCUUAAUCACUCACCAUUUUCUCUAUUACUAUUGUUUAUACGGUCUUUUGAUAAUUUCUUGCACUUUCAUCAGGAAAAAAUCAAGAUAUAUAUAGUUUUUGCCUUUCUAGUUUAAAUGGAUUUAUCCCAAUCUGACUCUUGUAUUCGCGUUUCAAGAAGAUCCAUUACCUAGUUAGUUUUAGGAUUUUCUGCAAGAUUUUAUAUUAUCCUUUCUACAGUACUACGCAGUUCUUUAGAUAAAUUUCUAAUAUGUUAUUUACAAAAUAUUCGCACGCAAAUGUAAAAAGGAACCAUUUAGUACUCUAUUAACGUUUUCUAGAUAUCUUGAUCAGUGUCCAAUAGUAUUCAAGGUUAGUUUAUGAACAUGGAAACUAAUUACUAUUUUUGAUUUAAACAAGUACAAUAGGAAGGGGAACCAUGGAUUAAUUUCUAGUUUAGUUUAAUCCAUCAUUUUCAAGCUUAGCUUCCGUUUUUGGUUGAUACAAGUUUUAAUAUACAAGUCAAUCUGGGUUCUUUGUUCCUCUCUUAUCUCUUUUUUCUGUUCUGUCAUCAAGCUAUUGGCUUGUUGUAUUUGUGAAGCCAUUUUUAUGAAAGUUUAUUUACUAGUUUUUGUGCCUGUUUUACGAAGUGACUGACCGUUAGCCUGAACUGUUGUGUGUAUGACUCUUUCAUAUUGAAAUUCCAACACUCGUGAAGUGCUAAGUAGUUUCCCUAUUUUGUAAUUCUAGACCAGAAGCCUGUUUACUUAUUUCAAGAAUUUGGGCAACAAUAUUUCUUUUGGAUUAUUUUAGAUUUCCUUACCUGUUGAGUGUACUUGUUGUGGUAUCCUUACAUUUUCUUGAUUCAUCCUCACUUCAUCAAUUAGUUUUCGCGAUUGAGUUGAAUCAAGUAUCUGUUUUUAUUUAUAUGGUAUCACAGCCAGACCAAUUUCUUUAUUUCUUGGUUAUCCUAUAUGUGCUUUUAUGUUAUAUUAGAUUCCCAUAUUGGUUGAGAAUGUUUGAGCAAUUGUAUCCUUAUUAUUCUUAAAAAUAAUUCGCAACUCAUAAGCUAACUGUUGGGUGUUGGGGUUGAGUUAGACUCGAAAGCCAAGGUUUCACAAAUUAUCAAAAAGUUUGCAAAUGUUUUUGUUGUUACUUCCAAGUUCUAGCAAUACUAGUUGAUGGUAACUAUUCCCAUGUUACAUUGUGGUGGUGGCGGGCCGGUUGAUUUUAAGGUUAAUGGUGUUUAAUUCUCAGGUUAAUCUUGGAAACAUGUGUGUCCAUAGCCUGAAGCAGUUUACUCCUUUCUACAUAUGCCAUUAACCCACUCUUUCAAGGUUUAUCUUUUGCAUAGAAAGCAUCUUAGUGGUUAUUUUGACUUGCUUAGAGCCUCCGAUAGUGCAGCUGAAACAGCGAUGAGUUGUACUAUCAAAACAGCGACGAGUUCUUUGUUCUAUUUUGAAGAGUCACCAAUGUUCUUGCUAAAUGGGGAGUAGAAGAGGGGGAAGCUAUCAUUUAUUCAUCUGCAAAUCUGCCCAAAUAUGCAAUUGGAACCUAUUUUCUUGACAAAUUAAGCUCAAAUGCCUCCUGUCAAGUACAAAGAAAGGAGGAAUUUUUGUACAUGGAUUUGCCUCAAAGGCAAGUUUCACAAAAAAUCUCAUUUCGAGUUCAAUCGCCGCUGGUCCAUUGGCGGUACGAAGUGGAAAAUGGAAGAACUGCAAUCCAAUCAAAGAUUCAAACUGCUUAUUGACACAGUCGAACAAAUGCGGCAUGUUUGGGUGAAAAAAGUUUGAAUAGAGCCAGAUCUAAGGGAAGUGUUUGAGUGAGCUAAAAAGUUUGAGUAAAGCCAGAUGUAACCUUGUUUUGCAGUGAGUAGUAGUUAUGAAUCCUGUAGCAAAAUUGGAACUGAGGGUUGGGAGGUAGAAGUACUUUUAUACAUUAAAAAUUCCAUAUAUUUCUCUAUUUUAUUUUUUCCUUUUUCCUCCUCUCCUUUGGGUAGGAUGAUGUGGCGUGCAGUCCACAGUUUGAGAUAGUUCUCUUUUUCUUUUUUCUUUUUUGUCUCCUUGCCUGUUGAAGGAGCGCACCUACAUUUUACAUAGUACAUACCAAAGAGGGAAAGAUGCUACUAAUAUUCCCUUAAGUUUC